AGUUAUUGCAUUUAGGAUUCUAAAUGGUUACAAUUUAUUAUGGAAAGAAAUGUACAUGGUCAUCAAAUAUAUAGUUCAAUAAAAAUAUGUAAAGUAAUUUUUAUGUAAUGUUACAUACAUUGCAUCGCAUUGCAUUAAUUUGCAGAUUCCAUCGAUUGCUAAUAUAGAAUUUUUAUUAUUAGAACCUCUUUUGCUUUUACUAAAAAACAGAAUGUAGCAAUUUUUAUCUUAUCAAUUUUCAGAGUAUUGUUACAUCCACUUUUGAAGUGCUAGGAAGUGCAACCGAAGAAGACCUAAAUGUGUUUAUUCAAAAUUUGUUGUGGGAGAAAAAUGUAAAAGACAAGAAAGGGAUUGGUGUCCAUCAAAGAUAAAUCUCAUCAGGUGAUAGUUCAGGGUGUUUAUGAACUCUAUGAUCUAGAGGAAACAACUGUGAAAUGGAAAGAGGAUGAACGAAUUAAUCGAUUGGUCUUUAUAGGUAAGAA